rnacentral:rRNA from 1 species
AGCGAACGCUGGCGGCAGGCCUAACACAUGCAAGUCGAACGAACUCUUCGGAGUUAGUGGCGGACGGGUGAGUAACACGUGGGAACGUGCCUUUUGGUUCGGAAUAACUCAGGGAAACUUGUGCUAAUACCGAAUGUGCCCUUCGGGGGAAAGAUUUAUCGCCAUUAGAGCGGCCCGCGUCUGAUUAGCUAGUUGGUGAGGUAACGGCUCACCAAGGCGACGAUCAGUAGCUGGUCUGAGAGGAUGACCAGCCACACUGGGACUGAGACACGGCCCAGACUCCUACGGGAGGCAGCAGUGGGGAAUCUUGCGCAAUGGGCGAAAGCCUGACGCAGCCAUGCCGCGUGAAUGAUGAAGGUCUUAGGAUUGUAAAAUUCUUUCAUCGGGGACGAUAAUGACGGUACCCGGAGAAGAAGCCCCGGCUAACUUCGUG